UACAGAGGGUGCGAGCGUUGUCCGGAAUCACUGGGCGUAAAGGGCGCGUAGGUGGCGACCCAAGUCCAUGGUGAAAGCUCGAUGCUCAACAUCGAGUCGGCCACGGAUACUGGGUUGCUGGAGCACUGUAGAGGCUAAUGGAAUUCCGGGUGUAGCGGUGGAAUGCGUAGAGAUCCGGAAGAACACCGGUGGCGAAGGCGGUUAGCUGGGCAGUUGCUGACACUGAGGCGCGACAGCGUGGGGAGCAAACAGG
rnacentral:rRNA from 1 species